GCCAGCGUAGCUCAGUGGUAGAGCAGCGGUUUCGUAAACCGCCGGUCAGCGGUUCAAGUCCGCUCGCUGGCU
rnacentral:tRNA from 1 species